rfam:Capsicum annuum cultivar Zunla-1 chromosome 9, whole genome shotgun sequence
AUUUUGUGGUUGGGGCAUUAGGUUAACUUUCCAUUAAAUCUCUCCCAUACUUCAUGAAGUGGCUCUCUACUCCUUUGUUGAAAGUUUAUGAUCUCAUCUCUUGCUU